rnacentral:rRNA from 1 species
GACAGAGGGUGCAAACGUUGUUCGGAAUUACUGGGCGUAAAGCGAGUGUAGGCGGUCUGCUAAGUCGGGUGUGAAAGCCCUGGGCUCAACCCCAGGCCUGCAUCCGAUACUCCCGGGCUCGAGGCAGGUAGGGGAGAUCGGAAUUCCUGGUGUAGCGGUGAAAUGCGCAGAUAUCAGGAGGAACACCAAUGGCGAAGGCAGCUCGCUGGGACGGUACUGACGCUGAGGCGCGAAAGCGUGGGGAGCAAACAGG